UCAGGUUAAAGAAGUAUGUGAGAAACAAAAACCUUCCUGAAGGUUGUAUUGCAGAGGGGUACAUAAUAGAAGAGACACUUUCAUUCUGUGUUAUGUAUCUAGCAGAUGGAGUGGAUUCCAAAAGAACAAGAAUAGGUCAAAACGCAGAUGACCCAAAUAAUGUUCAUAGGUUGGGAUUGCAGAUCUUUGCUCAUAAAGGACAUGCUCUAGAGAAACCACAUGAGUUCAAGCUAAGUGAUGAGGAAUGUUUAAAAGCUCAUACACAUGUUCUUAUCAAUUGUCCUGAUAUCAAGCCUUACCUACUUGAACAUGUGGAUGCUGCUAAAAAGAAGAGAGGUUGACGCUCACUACAAGACUCAGAGAGAUUGGCAAAUUUAUCUUUUGCUGCAUACUUCAAGAAACUUAUAGAAGAAAAGGCCUAGAUUGGUGAUAGAGAUAUCGAUCCUGAUAUCAGAGCAUUAGCUGCUGGCCCUGUUAAAAAAGCUGGAAGAUACAAG